UAAAAAAAUUUAUUAAAAAUUUAUUUUACAUAUUAAUUUUUGUAUUUAAUAUAAAUUAUUUUAAUAAUAAUUUAUAAAAAUUAAAGUAGUAAUUAAUAUUAAACACUUUAAGAAAUUAAGAUUUAUUAAUAUUUAAAUUAAUAACAAAUUUUGUGCCAGCAGUUGCGGUUAUACAAAAAUUAAAUUAAAUUAUAUUAGUUUAUUAAUAAGUAUUUUGAUUUUAUAAUAAAAAUUUUAAAUUAUUAAGUGAAAUUUUAAUUUAAUAAAAAUUUAUUUUUUAAUUAUUAUUUAAUAAAUUUUUAUAAAAAACUAGGAUUAGAUACCCUAUUAUUAAAUUUUAAAUUAAAAUACUAAAAUAGUAAUUAAUUAUUUAAUGAAACUUAAAUAAUUUGGCGGUAUUUUAGUUCAUUUAGAGGAAUCUGUUUAAUAAUUGAUAUUCCACGAAUAAAUUUACUUAAUUUAUAAUUUUGUAUAUCGUUGUUAAAAAAAUAUUUUUUAGUAAAAAUAAUAUUUUAAAAUUUUUAAUAAAAAUUAAAUCAGAUCAAGAUGCAGAUUAUAAUUAAGAAUAUAAUGGAUUACAAUAAAUUUAUUUAAAUGGAUAUUAAUUUGUAAUAAUUAAUUAAAGGUGGAUUUAAAUGUAAUUUUAUUUAAUUUAAUAGAAUGAUUAAAAAUUAAAAUAUGUACAUAUUGCCCGUCGCUUUCAUAUAUUAUAUUUAUAUAUAUAUAUAUAAAUUGAAAUAAGUCGUAACAAAGUAGAGGUACUGGAAAGUGUUUCUAGAAAGAC
rnacentral:ncRNA from 1 species